rnacentral:misc_RNA from 1 species
GAGAGACCAAAAGAGCUCUCAUCUGAAGAUAAACAAGGAAAUUGAGGAAUAAAUAGAAAUAGAAGAGCAGUUAGAAGAAAAACCCCCAUUUGUAAUUUCCAGGGAAAUAUAAUAAAGGCUAAUCAGCUUGAUAUCAUCCUGAAGGCAAAGACAUCUAUCAUAUUGUAAAUUUUAAUACAGAAUCAUCCUACUAAACCUGAGAGAAGUUCAUGGCAGCAGGUAUAGGAAAGAAAACUUGCCGUCCCUAGGCUCAAAGUAAAA